AGGGUGUAAACGCUGCAGACUUGGUGUUGGACCUCGGGUGGCUCAGUGCCGGAGAGAAGUUGUUAAGUCUGCUACUUGGGGAGUACGUCCGCAAGGAUGAAACUUAAAGGAAUUGGCGGGGGAGGCACCGCAACGGGAGGAGCGUGCGGUUUAAUUGGAUUCAACGCCGAAAAACUCACCAGCAGCGACUGUUACAUGAAAGUCAGGUUGAUGACCUUACUAGAUUUUCAGAGAGGAGGUGCAUGGCGUCAGUGACU
rnacentral:rRNA from 1 species